rnacentral:lncRNA from 1 species
GAUGCUGACUCCUACGUCCAUCUCAACCUGGGCAUCGUGCCACCACCUUCAAGAAGAGAAAAACUAAGUAGUGCUUUGCAAAGGGCAGCAGCAUUUCUCAUUUCUGACCAUGUCAGGCACACGGCCAUGCAGAUGAGCAGGUGGGGGACACAGGGAGGCUGUGAACACCCUAUCUCACCGACCUCAGAAGGACAGUACAGCAGUAGCCACCAUGACCAAAAAGAUGAUUCCAGAAGUGCAGGACAACUCCCUACCCAGAGGCUGUGGCUGUGCAGUUACACACCAAGAGGGGAGUCCAGCUGGCUCUCAGGGUGCUCACUACCCUCAUCUGGGGGCCUGGAGGACAUCAAUUCCUGAGAACGCCACGUUCUACUACUACUGUUGGCUGGCUGGAAAAAAUAGAACAAUAGUAAAAAUUAGAGACCAGUCUUUGGUGAUGAAGAGAAAUAUUGGCUACUUCCAGUAUUUUCUAGCUUUGGUUAUGGUUGCAGUUUUCCAGCUCACCUUGUGGGGAUGAAUUCAGGAAAAACUUCAGUUACAAAUUGAAAUGAACAUGCCAGAAGUAUUGGCUCAAAUCAACCUUGUCCUAUUAAGCCACUUAGUGAAUCAAAAGACCGCUUGUUGGACUGUUAAUCUCGGUGGCCAGAGAAAGGAGCUGAGCUGAAGAAGGUGUUGUCAGAUCAGGAACAAAUAAUUACAGCGGCAAUAGAAAAUGGAAGGCCACUUGUUCAUAACCAUUUGAAUAAGGGCAAGGUAUAUGGAAACACAUUAUGAACUGAUAUUUUCAGUUUUGUUUGCAAGAAAAUGAUUAAUGGGGUGAAAUAAUUGAAGUAUCACGGAAGAUACAUUAAAAAAAAAAAGACCUUUGUACAGUUUGCUGGAGUCACAGAAGCCCUACUCCAGAGCAGAACAAUGCCUGAAUCUUCAGGGUCCAUUUGUGCCGCAUUCACUAGCAACCACAAACGUGACUUAAUUUUACUUUGGAAAUAAUGCUUACCUAUCGUGAGAUGCUGUAAUAUGAACCAUCAUUACAUGUUAACAUGGCACAUGGAAUUUUGAGUGUCUAAGUUACAUUUUUAGAGUUGUUUCUUAGUAGCCAUGUGAGUUUCCACUCCAAAAACACAAGCUAAAAACUUGUUUUGAGUGAAGGACAUCUAGGGCAAAUGGUGACUGAAAGUGAAUGAGAUCCCAAUUACUCUUUCUUGUACCGUAUAAGGAAAAGAAAAUAGAUGCUUUUCUUGUUGGGUGUUUGCUAAUUUAUAAUUACUGUUUUAUGCUUUUCAACAUUUUUAAUAAAGUUUUUAUUGUUGGCUAUAAACGUUUUAAAAGGAUUCUCUUCCUCUAGAAUCACUCUAAGUACCAAAAUCUGUAUUAUUCUGGAUUCAUCAGAGAAACAGAACCAAUAAGGUGUGUGUGUGUGUGUGUGUGUGUGUGUGUGUGUUUUAUUCGUGUUAUGAAACUGACUCAUGCAAUUAUUAUGGUGGCAAGUGUGAAAUCUGUAGGAUACGCCAGCAGGCUGAAAAUGCAGACAGAAGUUGAUAUGGUAGUCUUAAGACAGAAUUUCUUCUUUUCUGGGAAACUGUAGUUUCUGCUCUUAAAGCCUUCUAC